UCCAGACUCCUACGGGAGGCAGCAGUGGGGAAUAUUGCACAAUGGGGGAAACCCUGAUGCAGCGACGCCGCGUGAGUGAAGAAGUAUCUCGGUACGUAAAGCUCUAUCAGCAGGGAAGAAAAUGACGGUACCUGACUAAGAAGCCCCGGCUAACUACGUGCCAGCAGCCGCGGUAAUACGUAGGGGGCAAGCGUUAUCCGGAUUUACUGGGUGUAAAGGGAGCGUAGACGGCAAUACAAGUCGGAAGUGAAAUACCCGGGCUCAACCUGGGAACUGCUUUGGAAACUGUAUGGCUGGAGUGCUGGAGAGGUAAGCGGAAUUCCUAGUGUAGCGGUGAAAUGCGUAGAUAUUAGGAGGAACACCAGUGGCGAAGGCGGCUUACUGGACAGUAACUGACGUUGAGGCUCGAAAGCGUGGGGAGCAAACAGGAUUAGAUACCCCGGUA
rnacentral:rRNA from 1 species